UGAACAUUAAUACCUAUAAUAUUUAUUUUCCUUAUAUAUUUAAUUUUGCAUUCAGAAAAUAAUAGUCUCCUUCUAAUAAUGUAGAGUAAAUGGUGUUUUAUAGUUUGUUGUUUACACAGAUAGUUGUACCAAUGAUUAUUUAAUCCAUGUCUUGCUUCUAAAUUGUUCAUGGUGUUCUUAUUAUUAUUUCAUUGUUCACUGAUGUGUACUUGUUUCUAACUUGAACAGAAAAAUUGAUGGCUUGGCUUGAGUUUAUUGAAUAUAUUUUAAUAACCAAUUAAUUGAAAACAUAUAAACAAAUAUACAAUGCCAACACAUAAAUGGAAAACAUUUCAAUGAACACACAAACUUUGUUGUCAUGAUAACAGUGUAUCUGGUUGUUCUGACUUCAUGUGUUAAAAUGAUUGUUUAAUUAUGGCAUGUCUUAAAUACUUAAUUUUAGAUAAUGGAUGCAUUUUUACAUCUGCUGUGUUUGCCUUUGGAUGGCAGUGUUCUCCAUGUAGCAAGUACAGUAUGGACUGCCAUAUUUUUGGGACAAGACCCUGAUAAACACAGGUUUUUAAGCGAGGUGCAGAUACUGGAGUAUGAUCAUCUGGUUGGUGCAGUCAAUGAGGGUGGAUUCCACUGGUCUCUUAUAGUUGUGCAACCGAAAGACAACAAAGUUUUGUACAUAAAUCCGAUGGGG